CAGCACUUCUAAAUAUGACAACAUCAGCACCCGUUCCCACCUCAACCACCACAGAGCCAGUGCUAAAGUUCUGGGGUGUAAUUCUAAUCUCUAUAGCUGUUGCAAUCAUUUCUGUGGCUGCAAUCGUUGGGCUGUGUUUCUACUGCAGUGUUGCAUUAUUGUAAGAAACUGAAGCCCGUACACAUCAAGACAUACAAUAACAUUAUACUAUGAAAGAACGAAACAAAGGAACAAACAAUAAGCUUUUCCUCUUUAAAUGUUUUGUUAAUGUGUUUUUGUUUAUGUUUUGUUCUCCUUUCUGUCUUUCUCGAUAUUUAAUUUUGUAUGCCCUCUAUUCCCACCUCUAUUCCCACCUCUGAUCUCAUUACCUGUGGGAAUGUACUGGGAUUUAAUAUUUUGCCUGUCAUUUAUAA